GCCAUUUUGUGCUCCUGGCCCUGAAGAUCUAGGCAGCUUCAACUUCCUCUCUUUUGGUAUACCUCCUUGCCUGUCUAGCAGCCAUGGAAAGAGCCAUGAAGAGACAUGAAGUCUCCCCAGCCCAAAGCCUGUGCUGAGCUCCCAGUUACAGCCAGUGCCAACUGUAUGCCAACAAGCCGUGUGUGUCAACCUUGAAAAUGGGCUCCUCCUCCUCCACUCUACCUGCCUGAAAGGAUGCCUUAUAUAGCAAAAAAGGCCUGUCCCUCCUUAACCCUAUACGGAUUGCAGAUUUAUCAGAAAACAAUCGCAGUACCAAGGAGAGAAAGCUAGGACAUCAUAGUGCUGAGAUGUGGGCCAAGGCAGUAUGGACUCAAAGCUCAUGUUUCUGGUUCUAAUACAUUAUUGUCUUUUAUAAGUCUCUGGGAGUUAAGAGACCAGUUCAUAAACGUCAAGAGUUAUGAGAGAUCAGGGAGGAUGGCCAUGGAACAGUGAGAAUGAUGGGAAACUACCACACCCACAGCCACAUCAGGAAAACCCACCUGCAGAACCAGAAGAGCCACAGGUCACAUCCAAGUUGGCUGUGCCUCCAACUGUCUGUAUCAGAUGGAUAAUGGGGAUGACUCCUCCCUGUGCCUGGAUCAUAGAGGCUGGCACAGGCCAUGGGGAAGCUGCUGGAUCAAUCUGACAUCUGUUUGCAGACUGAUUGGAUGAGGAAGCCAAGAGAACAAUCAGAGUGAAGAUUUAGGAAGCUAUUGGAAUAAUUUAGAAACACUGUAAGCCUGCAAACAAUGGAUCAGACCCCGGAUGGAAGAUCAGCAUUUUUGGAAGGAAUAAAAAGAAUCAGAAGUGGAAAACAGGAAUAAUACAUAUAUGUAAAAAAAUGUAUAAAUAUGGUCAAAG
rnacentral:lncRNA from 1 species